rnacentral:rRNA from 1 species
GACGAACGCUGGCGGCGUGCUUAACACAUGCAAGUCGAACGGAAAGGCCCUGCUUUUGUGGGGUGCUCGAGUGGCGAACGCGUGAGUAACACGUGAGUAACCGGCCCUUGACUUUGGGAUAACUUCAGGAAACUGGGGCUAAUACCGGAUAGGAGCUCCUGCUGCAUGGUGGGGGUUGGAAAGUUUCGGCGGUUGGGGAUGGACUCGCGGCUUAUCAGCUUGUUGGUUGGGUAGUGGCUUACCAAGGCUUUGACGGGUAGCCGGCCUGAGAGGGUGACCGGCCACAUUGGGACUGAGAUACGGACCAGAGUCCUACGGGAGGCAGCAGUGGGGAAUCUUGCACAAUGGGCGGAAGCCUGAUGCAGAAACGCCGGGUGCGGGAUGACGGCCUUCGGGUUGUAAACCGCUUCCGCCUGUGACGAAGCGUGAGUGACGGUAAUGGGUAAAGAAGCACCGGCUAACUACGUG